rnacentral:rRNA from 1 species
UAGGGAAUCUUCGGCAAUGGGGGCGAACCCUGACCGAGCAACGCCGCGCGAGUGAAGAAGGUUUUCGGAUCGUAAAGCUCUGUUGUAAGAGAAGAACGUGUGUGAGAGUGGAAAGUUCACACAGUGACGGUAACUUACCAGAAAGGGACGGCUAACUACGUGCCAC